UACGUAGGGGGCGAGCGUUGUCCGGAAUCAUUGGGCGUAAAGAGCGUGUAGGCGGCUUGGCAAGUCUGACGUGAAAGCCCGCGGCUCAACUGUGGGCUUGCAGCUGAUACGGGCAGGCUUGAGUUCGGUAGGGGAGACUGGAAUUCCUGGUGUAGCGGUGAAAUGCGCAGAUAUCAGGAGGAACACCGGUGGCGAAGGCGGGUCUCUGGGCCGAUACUGACGCUGAGGAGCGAAAGCGUGGGGAGCGAACAGG
rnacentral:rRNA from 1 species